rnacentral:rRNA from 1 species
AGUGAACGCUGGCGGUAGGCCUAACACAUGCAAGUCGAACGGCAGCACAGUAAGAGCUUGCUCUUACGGGUGGCGAGUGGCGGACGGGUGAGGAAUACAUCGGAAUCUACUUUUUCGUGGGGGAUAACAUAGGGAAACUUACGCUAAUACCGCAUACGACCUACGGGUGAAAGCAGGGGAUCUUCGGACCUUGCGCGAUUGAAUGAGCCGAUGUCGGAUUAGCUAGUUGGCGGGGUAAAGGCCCACCAAGGCGACGAUCCGUAGCUGGUCUGAGAGGAUGAUCGGCCACACUGGAACUGAGACACGGUCCAGACUCCUACGGGAGGCAGCAGUGGGGAAUAUUGGACAAUGGGCGCAAGCCUGAUCCAGCCAUACCGCGUGGGUGAAGAAGGCCUUCGGGUUGUAAAGCCCUUUUGUUGGGAAAGAAAAGCAGCAGGUUAAUACCCCGCUGUUCUGACGGUACCCAAAGAAUAAGCACCGGCUAACUUCGUG